AGAUUGAACGCUGGCGGCAGGCCUAACACAUGCAAGUCGAGCGGAUGAGAAGAGCUUGCUCUUCGAUUCAGCGGCGGACGGGUGAGUAAUGCCUAGGAAUCUGCCUGGUAGUGGGGGACAACGUUUCGAAAGGAACGCUAAUACCGCAUACGUCCUACGGGAGAAAGCAGGGGACCUUCGGGCCUUGCGCUAUCAGAUGAGCCUAGGUCGGAUUAGCUAGUUGGUGAGGUAAUGGCUCACCAAGGCGACGAUCCGUAACUGGUCUGAGAGGAUGAUCAGUCACACUGGAACUGAGACACGGUCCAGACUCCUACGGGAGGCAGCAGUGGGGAAUAUUGGACAAUGGGCGAAAGCCUGAUCCAGCCAUGCCGCGUGUGUGAAGAAGGUCUUCGGAUUGUAAAGCACUUUAAGUUGGGAGGAAGGGCAUUAACCUAAUACGUUAGUGUUUUGACGUUACCGACAGAAUAAGCACCGGCUAACUCUGUGCCAGCAGCCGCGGUAAUACAGAGGGUGCAGGCGUUAAUCGGAAUUACUGGGCGUAAAGCGCGCGUAGGUGGUUUGUUAAGUUGGAUGUGAAAGCCCCGGGCUCAACCUGGGAACUGCAUCCAAAACUGGCAAGCUAGAGUACGGUAGAGGGUGGUGGAAUUUCCUGUGUAGCGGUGAAAUGCGUAGAUAUAGGAAGGAACACCAGUGGCGAAGGCGACCACCUGGACUGAUACUGACACUGAGGUGCGAAAGCGUGGGGAGCAAACAGGAU
rnacentral:rRNA from 1 species